rnacentral:rRNA from 1 species
AGUGAACGCUGGCGGUAGGCCUAACACAUGCAAGUCGAACGGCAGCACAGUAAGAGCUUGCUCUUACGGGUGGCGAGUGGCGGACGGGUGAGGAAUACAUCGGAAUCUACUUUUUCGUGGGGGAUAACGUAGGGAAACUUACGCUAAUACCGCAUACGACCUACGGGUGAAAGCAGGGGAUCUUCGGACCUUGCGCGAUUGAAUGAGCCGAUGUCGGAUUAGCUAGUUGGAGGGGUAAAGGCCCACCAAGGCGACGAUCCGUAGCUGGUCUGAGAGGAUGAUCAGCCACACUGGAACUGAGACACGGUCCAGACUCCUACGGGAGGCAGCAGUGGGGAAUAUUGGACAAUGGGCGCAAGCCUGAUCCAGCCAUACCGCGUGGGUGAAGAAGGCCUUCGGGUUGUAAAGCCCUUUUGUUGGGAAAGAAAAGCAGCAGGAUAAUACCCCGCUGUUCUGACGGUACCCAAAGAAUAAGCACCGGCUAACUUCGUG